UACGGAGGAUCCAAGCGUUAUCCGGAUUCAUUGGGCUUAAAGGGUGCGUAGGCGGCUUUGUAAGUCAGUGGUGAAAGCCAGCAGCUUAACUGUUGAACUGCCAUUGAUACUGCAAGUCUUGAGUACAUUUGAUGUGGGCGGAAUGUGUCAUGUAGCGGUGAAAUGCUUAGAUAUGACACAGAACACCGAUUGCGAAGGCAGCUCACAAAGCUGUAACUGACGCUGAGGCACGACAGCGUGGGGAUCAAACAGG
rnacentral:rRNA from 1 species